rnacentral:rRNA from 1 species
AGAUUGAACGCUGGCGGAAUGCUUUACACAUGCAAGUCGAACGGCAGCACGGGACUCAGGCAACUGAGCCCUGGUGGCGAGUGGCGAACGGGUGAGUAACAUAUCGGAACGUACCCAGUCGUGGGGGAUAACUCUCCGAAAGGAGAGCUAAUACCGCAUACGUCCUGAGGGAGAAAGCGGGGGACCUGCAAGGGCCUCGCGCGAUUGGAGCGGCCGAUAGUCGGAUUAGCUAGUUGGUGGGGUAAAGGCUCACCAAGGCGACGAUCCGUAGCGGGUCUGAGAGGACGACCCGCCACACUGGAACUGAGACACGGUCCAGACUCCUACGGGAGGCAGCAGUGGGGAAUUUUGGACAAGUGGGGGACAACCCGUGAGUCCAGCCAUUCCGCGUGAGUGAGAAGGCCUUGGUAGUAAGCUCUUUCAGCAGGAACGAACGGUACGGUACGUUUAAUAAGUACGGACUAA